AACAAACGCUGGCGGCGUGCCUAAUACAUGCAAGUCGAACGGGGAAAGCUUUCGGGUGAGUACUAGUGGCGCACGGGUGAGGAACGCGUGGAUAAUCUGCCUUAGAGUGGGGGAUAACUAGUCGAAAGAUUAGCUAAUACCGCAUAAGACCACGAGAGCUGCGGCUUUUGAGGUCAAAGGUUUUUCGCUCUAAGAUGAGUCCGCGUAAGAUUAGCUAGUUGGUGAGGUAACGGCUCACCAAGGCGACGAUCUUUAACUGGUCUGAGAGGAUGAUCAGUCACACUGGGACUGAGACACGGUCCAGACUCCUACGGGAGGCAGCAGUAGGGAAUAUUGCACAAUGGAGGAAACUCUGAUGCAGCGACGCCGCGUGAGUGAUGAAGGCCUUCGGGUCGUAAAGCUCUGUCGCAGGGGAAUAACACAAUGAAGGUACCCUGUAAGAAAGGAUCGGCUAACUUCGUG
rnacentral:rRNA from 1 species